AAGUCUAUACUUUCAGGGAUCAUUUCUAUAGUUCGUUACUUCCUGUCUCCAUACACUUCCUAAUCCGGGCAUCUUAUAUAAAUGGA
ensembl:snoRNA U3 Small nucleolar RNA U3